GAUUAACGCUAGCGGCAGGCAUAAUACAUGCAAGUUGAACGAGAUAAGUUUUAGCAAUAGAACUUUGAAAGUGGCGCACGGGUGCGUAACACGUAUGCAACCUACCUUUUACUGGGGAAUAGCCUCUCGAAAGAGAGAUUAAUACCCCAUAAUAUAUUGAUAAGGCAUCUUAUUAAUAUUAAAGUUACGGCGGUAAAAGAUGGGCAUGCGGCUGAUUAGGUAGUUGGUGAGGUAAUGGCUCACCAAGCCGACGAUCAGUAGGGGGUCUGAGAGGAUGUCCCCCCACACUGGUACUGAGACACGGACCAGACUCCUACGGGAGGCAGCAGUAGGGAAUAUUGGACAAUGGGCGCAAGCCUGAUCCAGCCAUGCCGCGUGCAGGAUGAAGGCCCUAUGGGUCGUAAACUGCUUUUGUACGGGAAGAAACCUCACUACGUGUAGUGAGUUGACGGUACCAUGAGAAUAAGGAUCGGCUAACUUCGUGCCAGCAGCCGCCGCGG
rnacentral:rRNA from 1 species